rnacentral:rRNA from 1 species
UAAACGGCUUUUGGGGGGGAUGACUUCGACCGUACCCCCCGAAUAAGCCUCGGCUAACUCUGUGCCAGCAGCCGCGGUAAGACAGAGGAGGCAAGCGUUGUCCGGAUUGACUGGGCGUAAAGCGUCCGCAGGUGGCCUGCCAAGUGGGGUGUGAAAGCCGGUGGCUUAACCGCCGGAGGCCAUCCCAAACUGGCGCGCUGGAGCCGGGCAGAGGGUGACGGAAUUGCCGGUGUAGUGGUGAAAUGCGUAGAGAUCGGCAGGAAGACCAAGGGGGAAGCCAGUCACCUGGGCCCGCGCUGACACUCAUGGACGACCGCGUGGGGAGCGAACCGGAUUAGAUACCCGGGUAGUCCACGCCGUAAACGAUGUACGCUCGGCGUUUGGUGGUGCAUCCGCACCGCUGGGCGCCUCAGCUAACGCAUAAGCGUACCGCCUGGGAACUACGAGCGCAAGCUUAAAACUCAAAGGAAUUGACGGGGGCCCGCACAAGCAGCGGAGCGUGUGGUUUAAUUCGACGCAACACGCAGAACCUUACCCAGAUUUGACAUGCUAGUGCAAGCCCGUGAAAGCGGGUCGCCUGCGAGGGUCUAGCACAGAUGCUGCAUGGCUGUCGUCAGCUC